rnacentral:rRNA from 1 species
UGCUAAUACCGCAUAAUAUCUUCUUCCGCAUGGAAGAAGAUUGAAAGACGGCUCUGCUGUCACUUAUAGAUGACCUUGCGGUGCAUUAGUUAGUUGGUGGGUAACGGCCUACCAAGACGAUGAUGCAUAGCCGACCUGAGAGGUGAUCGGCCACAUUGGGACUGAGACACGGCCCAAACUCCUACGGGAGGCAGCAGUAGGGAAUCUUCCGCAAUGGGCGAAAGCCUGUCGGAGCAAUGCCGCGUGAGUGAAGAAGGCCUUCGGGUCGUAAAACUCUGUUAUAAGAGAAGAACAAAUUGUAGAGUAACUGCUACAGUCUUGACGGUAUCUUAUCAGAAAGCCACGGCUAACUACGUG